UACGGAGGGUGCAAGCGUUGCUCGGAAUUAUUGGGCGUAAAGCGCGUGUAGGCGGUCUCUUAAGUCUGAUGUGAAAGCCCGGGGCUUAACCCCGGAACUGCAUUGGAUACUGAGAGACUAGAGGACGAGAGAGGGUGGUGGAAUUCCUGGUGUAGGGGUGAAAUCCGUAGAUAUCAGGAGGAACAUCAGUGGCGAAGGCGGCCACCUGGCUCGUAACUGACGCUGAGACGCGAAAGCGUGGGGAGCAAAC
rnacentral:rRNA from 1 species